CUUCCUUGCUUUGCCCCUUCCCCUUCGUGACUUCUUUCAAAGAUACCUAGGCUACAUCUAUCAUGGGGUAACACUUGGCUUUAAAGACUUGCACGCAGGGGAUGCUACUUAGUAGGCAAAAUCAGGGAAGACCUAGCACCCUUUCUGUGCCGGCGAGGAAAACUACAUCUCCCAUGAUGCCCCUGGGCGGGUUUCCGGACGGGCUCCGCCUCCUGCUGUCUUGACCUCCGGGGAACCCUCUUUGUGCCACGUGGCGUGGGAGCUCUACGCUUAACGUUGGUCUUCAACUCAAGAGUCAACAUCUCUACGACUGAGCCGGCCAGGCGCUCAUGAAGAGCUGCAUUCUUGAUAAAGAUUGAAGUUCAUACUCGUCCUUUGGAAGCCUUCAGAGGCUACAAGAUUGUGUUGGAAGCCUCUGUCUUCUGUUCCUCUUCUCACACCUUAUUUUAAUACUUAGCAAUAAUAAACCCAUCUGUACAACUUUA